UACGUAGGUGGCAAGCGUUAUCCGGAAUACUGGGCGUAAAGCGCACGCAGGCGGUCUUGUAAGUUUGACGUGAAAGCUCCCGGCUUAACUGGGAGAGGUCGUUGAAGACUGCAAGACUUGAGGAAAAUGAGAGGGGUGUAGAAUUCCUGGUGUAGUGGUGGAAUGCGUAGAUAUCAGGAGGAACACCGGUGGCGAAGGCGGGUCUCU
rnacentral:rRNA from 1 species